rnacentral:rRNA from 1 species
AUUGAACGCUGGCGGCAGGCCUAACACAUGCAAGUCGAGCGGAUGAAGGGAGCUUGCUCCUGGAUUCAGCGGCGGACGGGUGAGUAAUGCCUAGGAAUCUGCCUGGUAGUGGGGGACAACGUUUCGAAAGGAACGCUAAUACCGCAUACGUCCUACGGGAGAAAGCAGGGGACCUUCGGGCCGUGCGCUAUCAGAUGAGCCUAGGUCGGAUUAGCUAGUUGGUGAGGUAAUGGCUCACCAAGGUGACGAUCCGUAACUGGUCUGAGAGGAUGAUCAGUCACACUGGAACUGAGACACGGUCCAGACUCCUACGGGAGGCAGCAGUGGGGAAUAUUGGACAAUGGGCGAAAGCCUGAUCCAGCCAUGCCGCGUGUGUGAAGAAGGUCUUCGGAUUGUAAAGCACUUUAAGUUGGGAGGAAGGGAUGUAGAUUAAUACUCUGCAAUUUUGACGUUACCGACAAAAUAAGCACCGGCUAACUCUGUGCCAGCCGCCGCGGUAAUAC